AGCGGCCCGCGGGGGCGGUGCGGGGACCCCAGCCUCGAGGAGGCGCUCGUGCCGGGCGGAGGUGGCGCUUCAGCACUGUCGUGGGCCGGACAGCGCCUCCCGCCCCCGGCCCUCGAAACCUGGCUUCGGAGCCCAGCCGUUGGGACCGGACGGAAGACACCGAAGGAACGGCGAACCUCCCCGGACCGCUCCUGACAGUUCCCGGGUGGCCUUGGGCCUGCAAAGUCGGAAUUUGCACACCCUCCGCUAGUCCUUCCCUGAGCCCUUCUGCCCUCCUUGCCCAGCCGGGGCGAUGGGGACUAAGCAACGCGGGGCUGCGGAGGGGCGGUCACACGUGUGACCAUUCGCACUGCACUCCAGCCGCCGGCUCCUCAGGCUUUACUGGAGAGAAGCCCCGAGGAGGGCUGGGGGCAAAAGAGGGGCCUUCUGCAUCUCCAGCAACCUGCGGGCUGAGCUCCCAGACCCGGCGUCGGGGCGCUCGUCUCCGGGCGGGCGCUAGGACCGGGGACAGUCAGGAGGGCGCAGAGCGGGCUGGGGCGGCGCAGGGGGCGGGGCUGCCGCGGCAGGGCGGAUCGGCGGGCGCUAGGGCAGCGCGGAGCUCCGGCGGUGGGUGGGGCAUGGCGGCGCGCGCAGCGGCAGGUGGCGGCGGGAUGGAGCCCGACCCCGAGCCCGCGGCCGUGGAGGUUCCCGCGGGGCGCGUGCUCAGCGCCCAGGAGCUCUUCGCCUCCCGCUCGCGGUCGCAGAAGCUGCCCCAGCGCUCGCAUGGCCCCAAGGACUUUCUGCCCGACGGCUCGGCGGCUCAGGCCGAGCGGCUGCGCCGGUGCCGGGAAGAGCUCUGGCAGCUGCUGGCAGAGCAGCGCGUGGAGCGCCUGGGCAGCUUGGUGGCUGCCGAGUGGAGGCCGGAAGAGGGCUUCGUGGAGUUGAAGUCUCCCGCGGGCAAAUUCUGGCAGACCAUGGGCUUCUCAGAGCAGGGCCGGCAGCGGCUUCACCCGGAAGAGGCCUUGUAUCUUCUGGAGUGUGGCUCCAUCCACCUCUUCCACCAAGACCUGCCACUGUCUAUCCAGGAAGCUUACCAGCUGCUGCUGACCGACCACACUGUGACCUUCCUGCAGUACCAGGUCUUCAGCCACCUGAAGAGGUUGGGUUAUGUGGUUCGACGAUUCCAACCAAGUAAUCCAACAUUGGUAAAAGGCAGAGACCUUCAGACUUGGAGUGGAAACGGCUCUGUCCUGUCCCCGUAUGAGAGGCAGCUUAACCUGGAUGCCAGUGUGCAGCACUUGGAGGAUGGAGAUGGCAAGAGAAAGAGGAGCAGCUCUAGCCCUUGGUCCGUUAAUAAGAAGGCCAAGGCCCUGGACAACUCCUUGCAACCCAAGAGUCUGGCAGCCUCCAGCCCACCUCCCUGCAGCCAGCCCAGCCAAUGCCCAGAGGAGAAACCCCAGGAGUCAAGCCCCAUAAAGGGCCCAGGGGGCCCCUUUCAGCUUCUGGGGUCCCUGGGCCCCAGCCCUGGCCCGGCCAGGGAGGGGGUGGGGUGCAGCUGGGAGAGUGGCAGAGCCGAGAACGGAGUCACGGGGGCCAGUAAGCGGCGCUGGAACUUCGAGCAGAUCUCCUUCCCCAACAUGGCUUCAGACAGCCGCCACACCCUCCUGCGCGCCCCAGCCCCAGAGCUGCUCCCGGCCAACGUGGCUGGGCGGGAGACAGACGCUGAGUCCUGGUGCCAGAAGCUGAACCAGCGCAAGGAGAAGCUGUCGAGGCGGGAACGGGAGCACCACGCGGAGGCCGCGCGGUUCCGGGAAGACGUCAACUCCGAUCCUGAGGUGCAGCGCUGCUCCAGCUGGCGGGAGUACAAAGAGCUGCUGCAGCGGCGGCACCUGCAGAGGAGUCAGAGCCGGGCCCCUCACCUGUGGGGCCAGCCCGUCACCCCCCUGCUGAGUCCCAGCCAGGCCGUUUCCCCAGGCCGGACACGGUGGCUCAUGCCUGUAAUCCCAGCACUUUGGGAGGCCGAGGCAGGCAGAUCACCUUAGGUCAGGAGUUCGAGACCAACCUGGGCAACAUGGUGAAACCGUCUCUACUGAAAAUACAAAAAUUAGCCGGGUGUGGUGGUGCACACCUCUAAUCCCAGCUACUCAGGAGGCUGAGGCAGGAGAAUUGCUUGAACCCGGGAGGCAGAGGUCACAGUGAGCCAAGAUCACACCACUAUACUCCAGCCUGGGUAACAGAGUGAGACUCCGUUUAAAAAAAAAAAAAAAAAAAAAAACAGUUGCUAAAUCUGGCGGUCCUAAACUAGAUGGCAGACUGAGAAAUGUGACUCCCCUCCCCAGUACCUUGUUUUCUGUGUCCUUGUAGCCAUGGUCCUUCAGCAUAUCUCUGUGCUGCAGACAACACACCUUGCUGAUGGAGGUGCCCGGCUGUUGGAGAAGUCUGGGGGCUUGGAAAUCAGCUUUGAUGUUUACCAGGCCGACGCUGUGGCCACAUUCCGAAAGAAUAACCCUGGCAAACCCUAUGCCCGGAUGUGCAUUAGUGGAUUUGAUGAGCCUGUCCCAGACCUCUGCAGCCUCAAGCGGUUAUCUUACCAGAGUGGGGAUGUCCCUCUGAUCUUUGCCCUGGUGGAUCAUGGUGACAUCUCCUUCUACAGCUUCAGGGACUUCACGUUGCCCCAGGAUGUGGAGCACUGACCUCACAGCUCUGCAGGGGAUGGAGCUUGCUCCAGGGGACCGGGACUGUCUGUUCUCAGGGACCAUCUCGGCUGCCUCCUGUAUCCAGACUCUACCCUGUAGCUUCAGAGGCCAGUCUGGGCCUUGGGCCUGGGUGUCUGAUACUCACAGAGUGAAACUGUGACCCUCUCCCCUGCUGCCUUGCAGUGACCCCUCUGGAACUCAGGACUCGAUUUUAAGGACUCAGGAGGUGGGGUAGAAGAGAGGACUCUGUGCCUUUAAUGAGAGGGUGCCUGCUUCGUGCCAUAAAGCCAAAGCCAUUAAAAAGAUGUCUUUUCUGCUG